AUCGAACGCUGGCGGCAGGCCUAACACAUGCAAGUCGAACGAGUGGCGGACGGGUGAGUAAUGUCUGGGAAACUGCCUGACGGAGGGGGAUAACUACUGGAAACGGUAGCUAAUACUGCAUACGAUUAGAUGUGCUCAGAUGGGAUUAGCUAGUUGGUGGGGUAACGGCUCACAAAGGCGACGAUCCCUAGCUGGUCCGAGAGGCUGACCAGCCACACUGGAACUGAGACACGGUCCAGACUCCUACGGGAGGCAGCAGUGGGGAAUAUUGGACAAUGGACGCAAGCCUGAUGCAGCCAUGCCGCGUGUAUGAAGAAGGUCUUCGGGUUGUAAAGUACUGUCAGCAGGGAGGCGUUACCCGCAGAAGAAGCACCGGCUAACUCCGUGCCAGCAGCCGCGGUAAUUC
rnacentral:rRNA from 1 species